rnacentral:rRNA from 1 species
AUUGAACGCUGGCGGCAGGCCUAACACAUGCAAGUCGAACGAGUGGCGGACGGGUGAGUAAUGUCUGGGAAACUGCCUGAUGGAGGGGGAUAACUACUGGAAACGGUAGCUAAUACCGCAUACCAUCGGAUGUGCCCAGAUGGGAUUAGCUAGUAGGUGGGGUAACGGCUCACCUAGGCGACGAUCCCUAGCUGGUCUGAGAGGAUGACCAGCCACACUGGAACGGAGCCACGAUCCAGACUACGACGGGAGGCAGCAGUGGGGAAUAUUGCACAAUGGGCGCAAGCCUGAUGCAGCCAUGCCGCGUGUGUGAAGAAGGCCUGCGGGUUGUAAAGCACUUUCAGCGGGGAGGCGUUACUCGAAGAAGAAGCACCGGCUAACUCCGUGCCAGCAGCCGCGGUAAUAC